rnacentral:piRNA from 1 species
UCACGAUGCAAUGGUAAUGAGCCGGAGA